AGAUCACGUAGUAGUCGAGGGAGGAGUUCAUGGGUCGCAGGUGUUUGUUUCCGUGGUGUAAGAGUUCGAGGCUGUUGCAUGGCUUUCCCCGCGAUGCUGUCAGGUCUAAACUGUGGCUGCGGGCGGUUGGUUGGCCAUCAACUACUGACACAUCAAAAUUGUUUGUGUGUAGCAAGCAUUUUUCCCGGGAGAGCUACGAGAAUUGGAGAAAGGUGGACUUCGGCCUUACUCUUGAAGGCAGUUUGCGUCUAGGCAAAGAUGCGGUACCAAGUUCCGAGGAUUUUUCCAUCCCUCCAAAGGCGCCCACGAGAUGUCGUGAAAUGGGAUGCCAGACGGAGGAGCCCAGCACCAAAGAUGGUCAAUGCCAAACCAUCCAUGACUUGAAUCAGCACAGCUGGAAACUUGAACUAAAGAGUGAACGUGUGUUUUACAGUUUUCUACCUCUAUCUUUUUAAUGACCUUUAGUUUAGAUGUACUGACAUUGGUGGUUUGUCCAUCUUUAUUGUGAUGUGUCAUAGAUUAGAGAUCUGGAUGCUACUGGAAUACAGAGACUUGUUAGACUUGUUAAACAAUCAGUUUUAACAUUAAUGCCUCAAACAAGUGGCUAUUUUUUAAUCUUCUGUUUAUUCUUGUUAUUGGUAACAAUAAUUGUUACGUUAUACAAUUCUCUAUAGAUUUAUGAUCUGUUUGUUUCUGACUUGCAACUAUGCCAGUUUUAUUAGUGUCUAUUAAUUACAUACUAAUACUUUAGUUACUAGUAACAUUUUAAUUCUUAGUAAUAACAAUAGUUUGUUUUACCUUUUUAUUUUCAAAUUAGCAUAUUAUAUCGAGCUCUUAACUGUAUGUAACAUUAUUUAUCUAUUCUAAUUGUUAAUAGUAGCAUAAAUAAUAGAUACUACAAAUUUUAGAGUAAAAGAGGUUUUAGAAAUGUGGGUGUCAUAUUUUAUAACAGCCUAUUACAGCAAUAAAUGUGUGCUCUUUA